rnacentral:rRNA from 1 species
GACAGAGGGUGCAAACGUUGUUCGGAAUUACUGGGCGUAAAGCGUGCGUAGACGGCUAUCUAAGUCGGGUGUGAAAGCCCCGGGCUCAACCUGGGAAUUGCAUUCGAGACUGAAUAGCUAGGGUGCGGUAGAGGGAAGCGGAAUUUCCGGUGUAGCGGUGAAAUGCGUAGAUAUCGGAAGGAACACCAGUGGCGAAAGCGGCUUCCUGGACCAGCACCGACGUUCAGGCACGAAAGCGUGGGGAGCAAACAGG